ACCAGUCUCUAUCAGAGGGACAGUGCUGCUGUCAGCCUGAAUGAAGAGGUUUAUCCUGACAUCAACGUCAUCACAGGUCAGUCCCCUGUCCCCCUACACCAGUCUCUAUCAGAGGGACAGUGCUGCUGUCAGCCUGAAUGAAGAGGUUUAUCCUGACAUCAACGUCAUCACAGGUCAGUCCCCUAUCCCCCUAAACCAGUCUCUAUCAGCAUCAACGUCAUCACAGGUCAGUCCCCUAUCCCCUAAACCAGUCUCUAUCAGCAUCAACGUCAUCACAGGUCAGUCCCCUAUCCCCCUACACCAGUCUCUAUCAGCAUCAACGUCAUCACAGGUCAGUCCCCUGUCCCCCUAAACCAGUCUCUAUCAGCAUCAACGUCAUCACAGGUCAGUCCCCUAUCCCCCUACACCAGUCUCUAUCAGAGGGACAGUGCUGCUGUCAGCCUGAAUGAAGAGGUUUAUCCUGACAUCAACGUCAUCACAGGUCAGUCCCCUAUCCCCCUAAACCAGUCUCUAUCCUGACAUCAACGUCAUCACA
ensembl:lncRNA